rnacentral:rRNA from 1 species
GGGGGUAAAUUAAAUAAUUAAAUAAAAUAAAAGAAUUUUUGAGGUAUUUUAAUGGGGGUUAAAGUAUUGGAAAGAAAAAAUUUAUAAUUUUAUAGUUUAAUAGUAUUGUGGGGGAAUUUUGAAAAAAGUGAAAGAUUAAUUAUUAAAAAAGUAAUUUUAAUUUGGUGUAUCUUGGGUAUCAGAGUUUAUUAAUAAAAAUUUUUGUAAAAAAAAAUCUCGAAUUUAAAAGAGUUAAUUAAUUAAAUUUGUUAUUGUGGCAUAAAUAUAAAAAAUAAUUAAUUUGAAAUGAAAUGUUAUUCGUUUUUAAAUAUAUCUAGUUUUUUUAGAAAUAAAUUAAAUUUAGAAUUUUUUUUUGAUAUUUAAUAAUUUUUUUAGAUAUUUUUAGAAAGUUUAAUAUUUUAGGGGAUAAGCUUUAAAUUAAAAUUUUAUAAUAAGUAUGAAAUGUGUUAAAAUUUUUAAAAUUUAUAUUGUUUAUAAUUUAUAUUUUUUUACAAAAAUUUUUAAUUAAUAUAAAAUUUUUGAUUAUUAAUUUAAUUUUUUAUAAAAAAAUAAUUUUUAAUAAGUAAAUAAAUAGAUAAAAUGAUAAAAUUAGUAUAAUAAUAAAGAAAAAUAAAGUGAAAAUUUAUUUAAAAAUGAAAUAAAGGAAUUCGGCAAAAUAAAAUAUUCACCUGUUUAACAAAAACAUGUCUUUUUGUUUAUAAUUUAAAGUUGAAUCUGCCCACUGAUAUAAUAUUAAAGGGCUGCAGUAUAUUGACUGUACAAAGGUAGCAUAAUCAUUAGUCUUUUAAUUGGAGACUUGUAUGAAGGAUUUGAUGAGAUAUUAGCUGUCUCUUUUUUAUAAUUAAAAUUUAAUUUUUUAGUAAAAAAGCUAAAAUAAAUUUAAAAGACGAGAAGACCCUAUAGAGUUUUAUAUUCAUUUUAGUUUUAAAUUUUUGUAAAGUUUAAAUUUAAAAAUUAAAUAUAAUAUUUUAUUGGGGUGAUAGAAAAAUUAAUUAAACUUUUUUUAAAGAUGAACAUUGAUUUAUGAGUAAUUGAUCCAUAAUUUAUGAUAGUAAGAGAAAAUUACCUUAGGGAUAACAGCGUAAUUUUUUUUUUUAGUACAAAUAAAAAUAAAAGUUUGCGACCUCGAUGUUGGAUUAAGAUAAAAUUUAAAUGUAGAAGUUUAAAAUUUUUGAUCUGUUCGAUCAUUAAAAUCUUACAUGAUCUGAGUUCAAACCGGUGUGAGCCAGGUUGGUUUCUAUCUUUAGAUAAGGAUAUAAUGUUUUAGUACGAAAGGAUCAGAUAUUAGAAAUAAUUUUAUUGAUUAGGAAUAUUAUUAAUUUAUUAUAUAUA